UACGGGGGGGGCAAGCGUUGUUCGGAAUUACUGGGCGUAAAGGGUUUGUAGGUGGCUUGUUAAGUCAGACGUGAAAUCCCUCAGCUUAACUGGGGAACUGCGUCUGAUACUGGCGAGCUUGAGUGCAGGAGAGGAACGCGGAAUUCCAGGUGUAGCGGUGAAAUGCGUAGAUAUCUGGAGGAACACCGGUGGCGAAGGCGGCAUUCUGGACCGAAACUGACGCUGAGGCGCGAAAGCCAGGGGAGCAAACGGG
rnacentral:rRNA from 1 species